GACGGCUGUUGCGAGCUACUGGGGAACAUCCUUCCUGUUCAGAUGUCCAGGAGUUGGCUGCAUGUGGACAUCCGCGCGCAAAGUGCCUGGAAGCAGGGGGUGAGCGCGCAGAACAAGAAGUUCAGGAUUCUGAGCCCACUCCUUUUACUCUUGGGGCCGGCCCCACUUCCUCUGGGGGCCCAGGCAUCCCUCUGGCAAGUCUUCAGCUAAGAAAUCUGCAGAAGUCAUUGGCCAGACUUAGAACUAAUCCUUUGUGCCAAAAGGGUUGGUGGAAGGGGAGGGAGCUUUGCCAGAACCAGGAUGUUCCUUGCUCGUGGUGAACCCUGCUGCCUCCCAGCCAUCCCACUGCUUUUCUUUGGGAAGUGGGGGAAAUGCGAUUGAGGGGCCAGUGUAAUUCGGCAACACGUGAGUUAAAAAGCAGAUGAAAACCCACAGAGUAACCAGACAUUCUUCUCUUUGCAUGCAAGAUCCUGCUGAAUGUUGGAAGAGGAAGGAAUAUUUUUCUUGCUUUUCAGACAUUACAUCCUGUGAGGAGAAGAUUUGGAACAGAUGGGGGCCAGGGGGACCUUACUGUAUUUGCUUGUUUCCCUCUAUCCCCUCCCACAACCAGAAAUGGUUCACUUAUUUUUUUAACUCGUGAAGUUAAUUUUUUUUUUUUUCCUUUAAGAGAAAGUAGGAAAGUAAGAUAUCAAGGGCCGGGGAGAAAAAUCCACAAAGUUCCAGAAUAAAAAUCCACUUUUCAUCACAGAGGCUAAGUCUAAGUCUAAAGAUAGAUAAUUAACUCAGAAUUUCAUUUUAGGUUUAAUCGCUGUUCCAGUGACUUCUACAUUAAUGAGAGGGGCAAGAUGAAGGAUCCCUUACCAGGUGGAAAAAGAGGCUUUCUGAGUAGAGAAAGUGCAGGCUCGUCCUCACUCGGCCCUUCCUCAUCAGUGUUGGCUUUCAGCUCGCCCGCCCGACAUCCUGUGGACGCUGCAGUUCAGACAAACAGCAAGAUCAUCAAAGAGAAGAGCAUGAAUGAAAAACUGCUUUAUGACAUGCCUUCAAAGUGUCUUUUUAGAAGUUCAAAGGAUGCGGAGAGGAGGCAGGGGAAUCAAAGACGAUGGGGGAGAGCAAUGAACUCUCCAAGGGAUCAUUGGGGUUUCAUUGUAUAUUUUCUAUGACGCUUGUGAUGUAAAAAUCAAAAGUAAUCUCAGCCCUCAAGGGCUCUGUGUGUGUGUACAUCUGAUGCAAAGGAGAAGACUCACCUUGCUGAUGGAAGGCUUUACCCUGGCAUUCUCAGUCACACGCUUGCAUCUGCAUUUCCUGUUUGGACCUUGAUCGAAUAUUUUGAUCUGGGAAGACUGUGUCCAGAGACGGAGAUUGAAUGCUGCUUAUGUGGUUCGAUGGAGAUGAAUAAUUUAGUCCGUGCAGAAGUCCCCCAUUACCUUUUCCAUUACCUUUCCAUUACUCUAAACAAGCUAGAGUCCACUUGUAGCAGUGGCUAUGCAGAGCUCAGAAAAGAUCUGGCAUAGAUGAUAAGAUCCCAGAGGCCUCUGAUCUGACAGAGAGAACUGAGAUUCUACUUGAGUUUGGAUCCAGACCUAAUUGAUAUACUCAUGGGAACGCCACUGAUACUUGGACACUUUAGAAUGCCUUAUGCCCAAUCCAUCCAGACAGAAUGCUUAGGCAACUAACUAGUACCUGGCACAUGGUGGGUGCUUAGGUGAAAUGAAUGAAUGACGGAACAGCUGAGCAGCUUUGUUUUAUAACCCUAGAGUAGAUUCUUUUAUGGGAAUGUUUCCUAUUGUCCUUGGGCCAUUGAUGCCCAGAAUACAAGGAUAGUCUUAAGGAUCUGAAUUGCUCUGUUAGUCAAGUCUGUAAGGGAUUUCAUCUGCAAGGGACAGAUACCUCAACUCAAACUGGACUGAGAUAGAAGGAACUUUGUUGAUUAAAAUUAUUGAAAACUCAAGGGUCACUUGGGAAGCAUCUGCCUUUGACUCGGGUCAUGAUCCUAGGGUCCUGGGAUUAAGCCCCACAUUGGGCUCCUUGCUCAGUAGGGAGCCUGCUUCUUUUCCCUCUGCCCCCUACCCCUACUAGUGCUCUCUUCUCUCUCUUGCUCUGCCCUGCUCUCUCUCUCUCUCUCAAAUAAAUAAAUAAAAUCUUUUAAAAAAGUAAAAUUAUUGAAAACUCUAAAGUAGAUUUGACUUCUGGCUUGACUGAUAAAAUAGAUAAAUGUGUCCCUGUCAAAUUCAUACAUGAUGACACCUCUCACAAGCAGUAUAUAUGGUAUUAGGAGGUGGGCCCUUUGGGAAGUGAUUGGGUUAUGAGGGUGGAGCUCUCCUGAAUGGGGUUACAGCUAAAACCAAAGAGGCCCCAAGGAGCGUCCUUGUCCCUUCUGCCCUCUGACAUCAUAGAGAGAAGAUGGGUGUCAGUAGACCAGAAAACCCUUACCAGACAUUGAAUUUGCCAGCACCUUGAUCCUGGACUUCCCAGCCUUCAGAACUGUGAGAUACGAAUUUCUAUUGCUUACGUGCCGCUCAGUCUAUGAUGUUUUUGUUACAGUAGUGAGAACGGACUAAGAUAGGUAAUUCAAGGGCUCUGACAGUGUCUCCAGGAUUCCAUUUUAAUUUGUCCAUCUCUCAGCUUUGUGUUGUGUGUAUUCUCUGUUUAUGGGCAGACUCUCCCAUAGGGUGCUGGAGCACAGAAAAUAUUAUUUUGCAGUUAAAAAAUAUAGUCUCCAGAAGCAGACUUGAUUCAAAUCCCUAGUCCAUCACUUUACUAGAUGUGCAAACUUAGAUUAGUUUAAAGUCUCUGUGCUUUGUUUUCCUUGUCCUUACACUGGAGAUUAUGGUGGUGAUAGUCAUAGAUAAAACUUGCAGAACACUUGCUACAUGCCUGGUGUUCUUCUAAAGACUGUACAUUGAUAAAUUGACUAAUCUGUACAACAACCUAUGAGGGAGGUACUAUUAUUAGCCUCAUUAUAUGGAUGAGGAAACUGUGGUAUAGAAAGUUUAGACAACUUGUCUGUUACACAACUAGUACAUGAUGUAGCCAGAAUUCAAAUGCGGUCCUAUCGAC
ensembl:lincRNA